GACGAACGCUGGCGGUGUGCUUAACACAUGCAAGUCGAACGGUAAGGCCCUUUCGGGGGUACACGAGUGGCGCACGGGUGAGUAACAUGUGAGUAACCUGCCCUCAUCUCUGGGAUAACAGUCGGAAACGGUUGCUAAUACUGGAUAUGAGCUUGCAAGGCAUCUUGUGGGUUGGAAAGAUUUUUUUGGUUGGGGAUGGACUCGCGGCCUAUCAGCUUGUUGGUGAGGUAGUGGCUCACCAAGGCUUCGACGGGUAGCCGGCCUGAGAGGGCGACCGGCCACAUUGGGACUGAGAUACGGCCCAAACUCCUACGGGAGGCAGCAGUGGGGAAUAUUGCACAAUGGACGGAAGUCUGAUGCAGCAACGCCGCGUGCGGGAUGACGGCCUUCGGGUUGGAAACCGCUUUCAAUUGUGACGAAGCUUUUUGUGACGGUAGCAGUAGAAGAAGCACCGGCUAACUACGUG
rnacentral:rRNA from 1 species